GAUGAAGAACGCAGCGAAAUGCGAUAAGUAGUGUGAAUUGCAGAAUUCAGUGAAUCAUCGAAUCUUUGAACGCACAUUGCGCCCUUUGGUAUUCCUUAGGGCAUGCCUGUUCGAGCGUCAUUUAAACCUUCAAGCUCAGCUUGGUGUUGGGUGACUGUCCGCUUCACCGCGGACUCGCCUCAAAAUUAUUGGCGGCCGGUACAUUGGCUUCGAGCGCAGCAGAAACGCGAACUCGGGCCCGUCGUAUUGGCUCCCAGAAGCUAUCUUCACAAUUUUGACCUCGGAUCAGGUAGGGAUACCCGCUGAACUUAAGCAUAUCAAAAGCGGAGGA
rnacentral:misc_RNA from 1 species